AAGUAGUACUGAAGUCAUAGUAAAGCCAUAGUAAAGUUGAAGUCAGAGUAAGGUCAUAGUAGAGUAGUAGUAAAGUCGUAGUAAAUGUAUAGUAAGGUCAGUAGAGUCAUAGUAAGGUCAGAGUAAAGUCAGAGUAAGGUCAGAGUAAGGUUGUAGUAAAGUCGUAGUAAAGCCAUAAGGUUGUAGCAAGCUCAUAGUAACUUCAUAGUAAGGUUAUAGUAAGGCUGUAGUGAGGUCGUAGUAAGGUCAUAGUAAGGUCGUAGUAAGGUCAUAAUAAGGCCAUAAUGAGGUCAUAGUAAGGCUGUAGUAAGGUCAUAGUAAAGUUGGAGUAAAGCGGGAGUAAGGCGGGAGGCGCGCGAGGGGCUCCCGGGUCGUGGCUUGGCGCUGCUGGCUCUGCUGAGUAACCGUGGUGUAAAGCUGGAGUAUGUCCCCGUCCUGUGUGUAAAGCUGGAGUAAUUUACACCUCCCUCCCUCCCCUCCUCCUCCUCACCUCCGGGGGUGUUUCUGCAUGCUGGGAGUAAGGUUGGAGUAAAGCUGGAGUAAGGCUGGAGGACUCGGGGGGAGCUGAGUAACCCCGGAGUAACCCCGGAGUAAAGGGUGAGGAUGCCCCGAGUAGCUCUGGUGUGGCUGAGGGACACCCGGAGUAAGGCAGGAGUGAACCCUGAGUAACCCAGGAGUAAAGCCCGAGUAACGUAGGAGUAAAGCUCGAGUAAGUCAGGAGUAAACCUUGAGAAACCCCAGAGCAAACCAAGAGUAAACCCAGAGUAACCCCUGAGUAACUCAGGAGAGUAAACCCAGAGUAACCCAGGCAUAACCCAGGAGUAACCCAGGCAUAACCC